GACGAACGCUGGCGGCGUGCUUAAUACAUGCAAGUCGAACGGAAAGGCCCUGCUUUUGUGGGGUGCUCGAGUGGCGAACGGGUGAGUAACACGUGAGUAACCUGCCCUUGACUUUGGGAUAACUUCAGGAAACUGGGGCUAAUACCGGAUAGGAGCUCCUGCUGCAUGGUGGGGGUGGGAAAGUUUCGGCGGCUGGGGAUGGACUCGCGGCUUAUCAGCUUGUUGGUGGGGUAGUGGCUUACCAAGGCUUUGACGGGUAGCCGGCCUGGGAGGGUGACCGGACACGUUGGGACUGGGAUGAGACCCAGACUCCUACGGGAGGCAGCGGUGGGGAAUAUUACACAAUGGGCUGAAGCCAGAUGCAGCAACGCCGCGUGCGGGAUGACGGCCUUCGGGUUGUAAACCGCUUUCGCCUGUGACGAAGCGUGAGUGACGGUAAUGGGUAAAGAAGCACCGGCUAACUACGUG
rnacentral:rRNA from 1 species